UACCUGAUUGAUUCUGUCAGCGCGAUAUGCUCAAGUAAAAGAUUAAGCCAUGCAUGCUUUGAUUCAUAAAUGAAAUUGCGUACGGCUCAUUAGAGCAGAUAUCACCUUUCUCGGAAUCCUGAAAAGGAUAACUGCGGAAAUUCUGGAGCUAAUACAUGCGACUAUACUCCAACGCAAGGCGGGGUGCAAUUAUUAGAACAGACCAAACGUUUUCGGACGUUGUUUGUUGACUCUGAAUACCGUCGUUUACUGUCAGUUUCGACUGACUCUAUCCGAGAAGGGUGUCUGCCCUUUCAACUAGAUGGUAAUCUAUUGGACUACCAUGGUUGUUACGGGUAACGGAGAAUUAGGGUUCGACUCCGGAGAGGGAGCCUUAGAAACGGCUACCACGUCCAAGGAAGGCAGCAGGCGCGAAACUUAUCCACUGUUGAGUAUGAGAUAGUGACUAAAAAUAUAAAGACUCAUCCUUUUGGAUGAGUUAUUUCAAUGAGUUG
rnacentral:ncRNA from 1 species